CAUUCUUGCUGCGUUGAUAGAAACAAGUCAGUGGAAAAAUAUUACGUUUGAUAAUAUUGGUUUUAGUGAAAAUGAGGAUCUGUGUCGGUCAUACUGAUGUGUCUUUAGAAACUCCUUGGAGCGGGAACUGCGUGCCUGGCUGCGACUGUCACGACAUCUACACUGAUCAUACCUGUAUGAAAUAAACUGCACUGGAAAUGUCUACUGAAAUUGAGUUUGGAAUGAGUAAGAAAUAAUUAGGUAUUUAUUUCAUGUUGUUAUUACCUUGGAGAGAGAAAUAAAAAGAACAAAUAAUGACGUGAACUUUUAAUUUUAAUACAAUAAUAACGAAAUAUGUCAAAGUUUUAUAUUCUAAGUAUAGUAUUAUUUUCGUACAAAAUACUGGCCCUGAAAAACGGCAAAUCGGAAAAAAUGAUAGUAAAUUAAUUCUUUUUUUUAUUGUAAAAUUACACUUAGCGAUGCAAUAGCUUAAGUAGGUAU
rnacentral:lncRNA from 1 species